UUGUUUUUUUUUUCUUUGGGCUUAUGUUGCGGGUCGCGCUCCAGCCGACACUUUUACAGCUUUUGGCGUUGCGUUUUCAUGGGCGUCUGGACCGAAUAAAUCGACCUCUCUAUGCGCGCUGGCCACUCUCUAGUGCCGCCGGCCGUCCGAGAAUUUGUUCCUUGCGCAACAGAAAGAAAACAACAGACAAGUGUCGCUCUGGCCGUGCAUAGAUCUAUAAAUGCUGCUGCUGUACUACUAUGUAUAUAAAUAAAUAUUCACUAUCUACUAUGUGUGUGUGUGUGCGUAUAGCAGUCAUAGCAGGUUGUGUGUGCAGCAGCAUCCCCUUUUACGGCCGGCAGACUUGACAAUCUAUCCAUCGCGUUAUAAGACGAGAGCAGAAACCCCUUUUAGUUAUACCUAAAAGAAACAACCAGGAACUUGUGCCGAAGCUGAAGAAAAAGAGAGGAGACUACACACUUUUUUAUACAGAGAAGAUUCGUGACUUGGUGCCAUUCUAAUCACUUUAGAUUACCCAAACAGUUGCCUUUUUCUUUAUCUUUUUUCUUUCUCUCUACGCAACUAUUUCUUUCUUCUUCUUCUUCUUUUAGUUUGAAGAGAAAAAUAGAAAUUUCUUGGAGGUGUGGGUGAUUCCUCCCCCGGGAUUUGCCCACACAUAGUUGCGUGCAAUUCAUUUCCGAUAGGAGAAAAACAAACGGCACACGACACACACACACAUAGCGCCGGGCCUUUUGUAACAUUGGACAACAUUUUUUCGCAACGGCCAUAGGUAUGUUGUCAUGUUGUACGUAUACAAUCGAAAUAAAAGGAGAGAGUAGAAGAAAAAGCCCAUUCCUGGGUUGAGUUUGUGUUUUACCUUUUUCGAUGAGUUGUUCUUAUCUGCGUGUGUGCCGUUUAUUUUGGCCGACCAGUUGAUGCCGGACUGGAAAGGUGAGAGGUGAGAGGGACAGUCGAGCGGGACGGACCGCACGACCAACGACAACAACAACAACAACCUUCUUCCUUCCUUCUCUUCUUUUUUGGGGUUAGGGGGCGGUUCAGAGGGUCAACAGCCGCUGACACCGGCACGAGCACUUGCGGUUUUGUGUGUUGUUGUUGUUCUAUGUGUAAGACGCCGAAUUGCGCGCCGGUCGGUACAAAAAGACAAGAACUUGCAAGGGGGGGCCACGAACUUUUGUGGGUUUUUUGUUGUGUGUGUGUUGCAUUGGCCGCCCCUGAACGAACGAUGCACAAAAGCGUGUUGAUAACAGUUCCUCUUUCUUGUUUGUCUCUUGUCCUCCUCCAGAAAGGGGAAAAAUGACAAGAUCACAGACACACAACAACCAGGGAGAGCGAGCGAGAGAGAGAGAGACGCUAUCAGCAGUUGGAUCCUCCACGCCACCAGUCAGUCCCCCCCUCACCGGCAGCCAAAGAGUUUUGACUUGUUUCCCGCACCGAAAAAAAGUUUUUUUUUGUUUUUCCUUUUUUCUUCUUUUU